UUUUUUCUUUUCUUUUGCAUUAUCAGAUUCUCUAAAAGAAUAAGAAUCACCCAUUUCCUUUUUCAAGUUUGUCUCUCUUUUUUUUUUUGUAAGAGAUAGAGAGAAUAAUGAGUGGCACAAGGCUUUUUCUCCAUUUGUUCACAUUAGACUUGUUUCUAUAGCCUCAUGUUUUCUUGAAUGGCACAAGGCCUUGUCCAUCUCUCACUGAACUAAACCCGAUUAUAAACACUGCAAAACCUGGUUUCUACUUUGAAUUCGGCGGUAGAGACGUGAAGAAAAGGGAUUUAAAGUCGUAUAAGUAUGUUGUUACCUAUGUUUGGCAUGUGAAAGUAAUGGAACAGAUCAUAUUCCAAUCUUUCACCAAAUUGGAUACCUUUAAGCCACUUCAAUCCUGAAAAAUAAUGUGAAUGGUGUCUCAACUAGAAGAAGAAUCUGAGUAGGAAACGGUAAAAUGUUAACUGAAAAUGGUAUGGACGUGAAAAGUCUAUGUGAAUCAUGUUGAUGGUCGUUUGCACAAUAAUUUAUCCAAAAAAAGCUAUUUGUUUCAUGAAUGCAUAUGUAAAUAUUCAUUCAUUAUGGGAAAAAAAAGCCAAACCCAAAAUUGUAAUAUUAUUUAUUGAAUAUAUUAUUCAAAUGAACAAAAAAUGACAAAAGCA